GAUGAACGCUGGCGGCGUGCCUAAUACAUGCAAGUCGAACGCAGUGGGGACGGGUGAGUAACACGUGGGUAACCUCCCAUCAGAGGGGAUAACACUUGGAUACAGGUGCUAAACCGAUACUGAUGGAUGGACCCGCGGUGCAUGAGCGAGUUGGUGAGGUAACGGCUCACCAAGGCCAAGAUGCAUAGCUGGUCUGAGAGGGUGAUCGGCCACACUGGGACUGAGACACGGCCCAGACUCCUACGGGAGGCAGCAGUAGGGAAUAUUGGGCAAUGGACGAAAGUCUGACCGAGCAACGCCGCGUGAGUGAAGAAGGUUUUCGGAUUGUAAAACUCUGUUGGUAGAGAAGCGUUAUCUAACCAGAAAGCCACGGCUAACUACGUGCCAGCAGCCGCGGUAAUAC
rnacentral:rRNA from 1 species